UACGAAGGGGGCUAGCGUUGCUCGGAAUCACUGGGCGUAAAGCGCACGUAGGCGGCUUUUUAAGUCAGGGGUGAAAUCCUGGAGCUCAACUCCAGAACUGCCUUUGAUACUGAGAAGCUUGAGUCCGGGAGAGGUGAGUGGAACUGCGAGUGUAGAGGUGAAAUUCGUAGAUAUUCGCAAGAACACCAGUGGCGAAGGCGGCUCACUGGCCCGGUACUGACGCUGAGGUGCGAAAGCGUCGGGGAGCAAACAGG
rnacentral:rRNA from 1 species